rnacentral:rRNA from 1 species
UACAGAGGUGGCAAGCGUUGUUCGGAAUUACUGGGCGUAAAGGGCGCGUAGGCGGUCUUGUAAGUCCUGUGUGAAAUCCCACGGCUCAACUGGGGAACUGCACAGGAAACUAGCGGGCUUGAGUUCGGGAGAGGGAAGCGGAAUUCCGGGUGUAGCGGUGAAAUGCGUAGAUAUCCGGAGGAACACCGGUGGCGAAGGCGGCGUCCUGGACCGACACUGACGCUGAGGCGCGAAAGCGUGGGUAGCAAACAGG